GCGGUCCUGUCAGGAGGAACUGGCCAGAAACUCCUGCAAACUACCGUGAAAAGCUUUUUGGAAGGAAACCCAAAAAGACAAGGGAAAAGAUCUGUCCUGGGAAGGCGGAGGAGCGGAGGGCUGGUUUGUGGAGGGAUUCCCAGCGCUCCAUCUCGCUGAAGGACUUCUCAUCUGCUUGCUGUGAUCCAUGAUGCAGCUGUAAAGAGUUAUGCAAUUUUCUCCCUCCUGCUUCUACACAGCUGUGCGACUAGUCUUGUUGAAUGUUGAAGUGAGGCAUCCGAAAUUAUCUUUAUCUUCAGGUUUACGAUGAUGAUGAUGAUGGGCAAUAGAGAUGACAGGGCUCCUGUCAUGGCUGGCCUCACAAAAACACAGCAGUAUAAUGAGUGGUUUUCCCUGAUUGGGCAAUAAGAGCGGCUUUAAGAUUGUAUGUAUGAGUGGAGGAUAUGUUGCUUCAUUUCAUUUGGUCUCUAUCCAAGUAAACAUCUUAAUAAUAUGCGUU